UGACUCAGUUGGUAGAGCAUGGUGUUUGCAAUGCCAGGGUUGUGGGUUUGAUUCCCAC
rnacentral:tRNA from 1 species